GUGUAUUCACCUCCACCACCUGACCAGUCACUCGAUCACUUCACUCGACCCCCUGGUCGAGUGUCUUCACCACCACCACUCGACUACAUACUCGAUGGCGAGCUUGAGAGUCUUCUUCAUUCCGCACUCAACCAGACAGUCGAGCAUAAGGAAGAAAAGAAGACUCCAGCAUAUCACUCGACCUCUCACUCGACCACAUGGGUCGAGUACAGUUCUUAAUCCGUCCCAAUACUGCGUCGUUUUGAGUAUUAGGGUUUCAGAUUAUUUUGCU
rnacentral:sRNA from 1 species